AGAUUUGCACCAGUUUAGCCUGAACAAAUUGAAGCAGGUCUAUUUAAUGUCUUCAAGGAAUAUGUGAUAGCUGUCACAAUAACAUAUAUUGGAAGAAGAUAAAACUAUAUAUACUCCAAUAUAAAUAUUUAACACCUUUCACUACAUCAAAGAAAGAAAAUGAUCUUGACGGAAAAAAAUGUUCUACUUUUGUAUCGACUAUGUCUAACUCUUUCUUUAGCACAAGUUGGCAUAGGCGUCCACCGAUAUAUAAAAGUUACUACAGUAUUGGAACAUCGUUUUGAAAACAUCACGUUUUCUAUAGUUGAAAGGAUUGGAUUUAACAUUUCUUGCCAUGCUAAUGAUGAUAUCUCUUCAAAGUUGUAUAGGAAUUCACCGACGCUAGUUAAAGUAGGAUGUUCUUAUGGAAGUGCAUAUAUAGUAAGCAAAGACAACACAUAUGGUUCAAAAUUGCCAAAUAUCUCCGUACCUGCAUCAUUCAAUGAAGACACAUUGAUAACAACAUUUUAUAUUAAAGAAGAUAGUCUAGAAAAGAUUGAACGGGAAGUUGAAUUAUUUAACUCAACGAUAUCAGAGUGUUGGCUUCAAUGCGAAUUUUUUGACAAAAACUUACAAACCUACGGAAAUACAGUUCAUAUUUUACCAAUUCGUAUGUAUAAUUUGAUUAUACACUAUGUGAAUACUCUUCGUGUGCAUUUGUCCUAAUUCAUUUGUACUUUUCCUAUACAUAGGCCAACCGGUAAUUGAAGAUUGUUUCAUAGAAGAUUUCCAGAGGUUGGUUUGCAAAUGGAAUUCUGGAUUAGAUAAGAAAGCACCGUAUUUUAACCGUACUGAAAUUGGAUUUACUUACGGGUAACUAUUUCUUUGUUUUUCUAUAUUUAGUUUAUCUUCAUAGAUAUGUAUGCCACUAGUCCUGAUCACUUACAAAAACAAGAUAGGGGCUCAAUUCGCAAAAAUUUUUGCAAAGAAAUAGAAUGCUCAAAGUAUAAAAAAGAUACAUAUCUAAAAGGGAAUGAACUGUGGUGGGGUAAAGCAGUAUAUUACGCAAGAAAUUACUCGAUAUGCAUCUGCAUAAAGACAAUCUACAACCAAGCGUUAAUUUAUAUUAUACCAACGGAAUAUCCUGGUUCGAUAACGUUUUAACUUUUGUCUUUUGUUAUUUUCUACUAAUAAGAUAUUCAUUUUUUUAAAUUUUAAUCCAUCAUCAUAUCAAAACACUAGACUAUUUCGACUUACAUACAUAAUUCUUUUUCUAUAUUUUACAAAUCAGCUUAAGGUAGCAAAAAACACCAAUUAUUUUCAAUACUAUAAAUAAUCGUUUCUUUAUUUUUUACUAAUAUUGAGUUUGAAAUUAAAUUAACAGUUUAUACAGUAGUAUCAAGUUUGAUUGUGUCUUUUUUUUCUAGGCCAUAAGAUUGGAACAUUUGAUUUAACUAAUGGUUUUUAUACUUUAUAACUCUUUCGCAUUAACAGCUUUACAGAACCUUUUCCCGCUAAAAUAUUCGCAUUCGACACCAUUGAGAGUAAACUGUUCAUUUGUGAAUUGUUAAAGAACUCUCGCACUUGUAUUGGUAAUAUAGUUGAGAUGAAUACCAGCGAUUUAGGUAGUUUCUUCAAAAUAAUAGCAAAAUAUUUCCUCCUAGCAAAGCUAUCUUCACUUAACGGCAAAAUAAAACAAAUAUACAUAUAUUUAAUGCUGCUAUAUGUAUAUUUGCAAACAAUAAAUAAUCUACUUAACAACUAUUUAAGCUAAUGUCCAAUUUAUAAACAAUUGUAUAUAUGCUAUAAAUUCUAUCCUAAUUUUUCAGCUACUCUUCCACUGUCAAUCCACCAUAUGACAUCAAUUACUAUAGAGAUUCCUUUCUAUCUGUAUAUUAUUUCAAGGGUAGAAAUAUUUCGCAAUCAUUUGAUUUACCCAGCCGAUUUAAAAAUCCGCAGUGGGCUAAUUUCCCUGAAGGUAAUAAUAAUCCCCGUUACAAAAACGUAUUUUGCGAAAAUUCUAAUUGAUUUUAAUGCUGCUUCCAAAUGUCGAAAUUAUUUUCUCAAGUCUUAUUUCCCUUUUGAAAUGUUAUGUAGAAUGAUUUAUAUAAUUAUUAUUUUUAAUAUAUUGAAAUUACUAUAGAGAAUUAUACAAGUGCGGUUGCCAAAUUGAAACUACAGAGAUCCUUUAUCAAGAAGGUCACUAUUACUGUAAAGUUCCCUGUCAAUAUAAAAAUCCAGGCAAAAUGUGUCGGAACAACACACGUUUUCUCAACAUAUCUUUUAAAGAACGUGGUAUACUUUUUUCUAGUUUGAAUCAAGAAAUGCAUGCAGCCUUCCAAUAAGUUUACUCUUUCAAUUAAAGGAUUUGUUAUGUUUAUUUAUGCAUCAAAUUUUUAAAGACUAUAAAUAGCAUGGGCUACGUGAUCUUUUCCAUAUAGAAUUACUGUUUCUCUUUCUAAAUGGUUUAAACGAUUCAAAAGUGUUCCUUAUUUCAACGCUUAACAAACGCUUCUUUUAAAACAGCUAAUUUGCAUUUUCCAACAUCUAAACAAUUGUUCCUGGAAAACCACAAAUGAAUAUCACUGAGGGACAAACAGAUGUUUUGCUCAUGGUAAAUGGAUCUAAAGGAAUACAUUAUUAUUGUGCAAAUGACAAUUGUACUGAAGAAUACAUGUACCCUAAAGUAUAUUUCAAAAUAGUAUGCGAACUAAGUCAAAAUUCUGUUGUUUUGAAAAGAGAAUCAAGGAAUUAUAUUAUAGGAGGCCAGCCUCAAAGAAGUUUUCGUUUCUCGAACUUGUUACCAUAUAGACAGUACAGUGUAAAAUUGUAUAUGAUACUUUAUGAUAAGGACUUCCGACAGAAAAUAGGACAAAAUGGUACAGCUCUUAUUCAGAAUUUUACAACAAGACAAGCAGGUGAUACUUUUACUUUUCUAUUUUUUAUAUUGCUUUCUCUUUUUUCAAAAUGCUUUUUUUUAGUCUUUUUAUACAUUAAUCCUAUGUUUAUAGAACCAUCCGCAUUACCUGAAAUUCCUCCAGGAGCGUUCAUUUUAGAUUCUGAUAGAAGGCAUCUAACAAUUUUGUGGAAACCUCUUCCCAUUCCAUUCCGAAAUGGACCAAUUGCACAAUAUUCUCUUCAAAUUUCUUCUGAAAAAUCUAUGACCAAUGUCUCUGGGGAUGUAAACUAUUACAAAUUUAAAAAUCUAACUACAACAAAUCCUUCUAUAAAAGUGAUUGGGUUUACGAAAACACAACAAAUAUCUCCUCUUCUAAAUAACUCUGAUCAUCAAUUUAACCUCUCAAAAGUUUCGUAUGAUAAAGAAAAAAGCUGCUUCUCUGUUAAUAAAACUUCGAAUGGAAAUCGAAAAAUUGAUUGGAAAAUACCAGGCAUUAAAGUUUCCAGAUAUGUAAUUUAUUAUUGUAUUGUCGAAGGACCCGAAGCUUUAAUAUCAGAAGGCUGUAUAGUAAGCAAUGACAGCGAUUGGUAUGGUCUCAAAACAAUAAUUGUAUCGAAUACAACAAAUUUUCUUGUAAUGAAUGAAUCUCUAUUCAUGGAAGAUAAGAUAUACGAUUUUGGAGUUUCUGGGGAUAAAUUCCUUAACGAUAAAUGGCAUAGUACUGGAUUAAUACCAUCAACCUGCCUUAAUAGAACUCAAUCAGACUAUAAAGUGGAAACGGCAGACCAAUCUUCAUAUCUUUGGAUUCUUACAAUUUUUUUUAUUAUACCGAUUGUAGGAUUUGUACAAUUUAUUAAAAGGUUAACGAGAGAAUUCAAGACAGAUCCGAUGAUGAAGGAGAAUUUGGGCAAGCUGUUAGAUAAAAAUUAAAACGCCAUUUUUUUUUAUAUCAUUCAAUCAAUCAACUAUUAGCCUCAUUCGAAAUAAUCUAUAUUCAAGCGAAUUAAAGAAAAAAUUGUAAAUUUGUAUUAGUAUUGUAAAGACAAUUGUUUAUAUGUACUAUAUUAUAUCUUGUUUAUAUGAGUUUACUCAUUUUCUUAAAUAUUGUUUUGUUUUUCUAUUGUUGAUACUGUUUAUAAUGUUUUCUAUUAGCGCAAAAGACGAUUUCAAAAUAGACCUUUGCGAUUAAUUGGAACAAAUAAAGUUAUCUAUUUUAAUUAUUCUUAUGAAAAGGUUUUUUAUUAUAUGGACGAAAUGAGAAUUUCCAAGCAAUCGUAUCGAAAUACAUUCGGCAGCUUGUUGUAAGCUUCGCAAUACUUGAACAGAUAUUUUAAUUGAAUAGCUCUAUUGAAAAUGAUUUUUGAUAGAAUACUUUCCAAC
rnacentral:misc_RNA from 1 species